AUACGUAGGGGGCGAGCGUUGUCCGGAAUGACUGGGCGUAAAGGGCGUGUAGGCGGCCGAUUAAGUCUGGAGUGAAAGUCCCGCUUUCAAGGUGGGAAUUGCUUUGGAGACUGGUUGGCUUGAGUGCGGAAGAGGUAAGUGGAAUUCCCAGUGUAGCGGUGAAAUGCGUAGAGAUUGGGAGGAACACCAGUGGCGAAGGCGACUUACUGGGCCGUAACUGACGCUGAGGCGCGAAAGCGGGGGGAGCGAACAGGAUUAGAUACCCUGGUAGUCCACGCUGUAAACGAUGAAUGCUAGGUGUAGGGGGUAUCGACCCCUCCUGUGCCGGAGUAAACGCAAUAAGCAUUCCGCCUGGGGAGUACGGCCGCAAGGUUGAAACUCAAAUGAAUUGACGGGG
rnacentral:rRNA from 1 species